GACUUGUCCGCGGCUCCUGAGAAACCCUGACUCCUUCCCUUGCAUUAAAAAACCAUCACCCCCCCACCGCCCUGAGCUUGUGAAAGGUGUGGCCUGUGGAUCCCAACCUCAAAUUCAUCUAGAUGGAGGGGCAUUCAGCUGUUUGCUAGGGUUAAACUCACAGCCCUGCACAGGUGGGUGUGGUGGGGCUUCAGAGUCAGAGUGAAGACAGUGAAGGAGAAUCCUGGACUUCUCCCGAGCGCGCAGUACUCCACGGUCUGUCUCUGUGUGGUGGUGAAUAUUGGCUAUCUUGGUCAUCCAGGAGACAAACCCCUGGAUACAAAGCGACAGCUGCCCCGCUCUCCUGCUGCCGUGUGUGCCCCACCAUGACGGACUGGAUUCUCAAACCGCGAGCCAGAUAAACCCUUCCAUCCUUAAAGACAGCACUGAGAUAUCUUAUACACCGGGCCUGUGGCUCCAUCAUCCCCACCUCGUCUUCUUCCUGUGUGUUCCUUCUCCGUGCGGCUGUUUCUGAGAGUCAACAGUCAUUCAGAGUGCACCUAACGACCGUGACCAAAUCACCUGCACUCGUCCUGUUCUCAGUCCUGGGGUCAGGACUCCAAGACAUCUCCUGUUGACAAGACUUUUACGUCUAAGAGGAAGAUGUGUUGGAAGCUAGCGAGGGAGGACCUAGGGAGACUGGUCCCUAAGACUGGGGUGUACUGGGGCAGUGAGCUUCCACACCCUGGGAUCCCUGAGGCUGGGAGAGAAAAGCUGAGGCCCAAUGGGACUAGGGUGAAGCCCCCAGGCAGGUGCCACAGGUGGGAUGCCCAGUUCUCAGGGUGGGGGGGGGGGUGAAAGAUGGGGAUGAGCAGUCUGUAUUGAUGGUCCCCAAAUGUCGCACUCCUGGCAAGAGCAAAAGCAGCCAGGGAAAAAAGUCAUGCUCAAAUUUCAGACUCCCCUUUCUGGAACUUUCCAUUGUGGGUAAGAUUACAACACUCUUGCCAUGUCCUUCCUGAGGCACAGGGAGAAGAGAGGUCUUUCUGGGGAAGGUCUCCCUACGUCAGGCCGGGCAAUUGCCGUCACUCCGGCAUCAGAUAGGUAUGAGUACCAUGUGCCUGCAAUGCCCAUGGAGGCCUGAAGAGGGUGUUAGAGCCACUGAAACGGAAGUUACAGGUGGUCCUGAGCUGCUUCUGUGUCUGGGAACUGAGCCCGAGUCCUCUCCAGAAGCAGUCAGUGCUAUAGACGCCUGAGUCAUUCCUCCAGCACACUCCGCACUUUUUAAGGAUGCUUGUGGGUUUCUAUUUUGUUUCUGCUUUGAGACAAGGUCUAUGCAGCCCAGCCAGCCUCCAGGUCGCCGUAGGAUCGUGAAGAGUUGAUCCUCCACCUCCACCUCCCGAGUGCUGGAAUUUCAGCUCAUCUCUGGAGGUGGGUUACCUCCAGCCUCCAUCUAGACCUUCCAGUCCCACACAGUGACCUCCAGGAAGGGACCAGAAAGCUCUGUCUGUAAACGGGAGGAAACAUUGGAACCUGACACCUGCCUGCCUGAGCCCUCAGCCUGCUUCACAUUGGGGGUCUGAGCACAGAAGCAGGGGCUGGACCUGUUGCUUUUCGGGGAGAUUGGUACCUGACUCCUCCAGCAAGGCAGAAAGCAAAGGGGCCUUUCCCAGCGUUGGCCUGUGUGGUGUGCGGCGACCUCAGACACAUACCCCUCAGAAAACGAUGGCUUUGAGAAGCUGGGAAGCAUCGCAGAGCCCAAGAUCCCAAGAACAACACGACUGCUGUGGUGUGUGCUCCUGAUGUCCCAGCUUCCCCUGGGUGAGAUGGGAGGACCUGACUUCAAGGCAAGGCCAGCCUGGACAGUGUACAGCAAGACUCUAUUUGGAAACCGAGAGCCAAGUGGAGACCGGGGUUCCGGGGAUCAAACUCAGGUCGCCAGGCUUGAGAGGCAAGACUUCAUCCACAGAACCAUCUGGCAAGCAUCCCACAAGCUUUAUUUUUGGGGAGUUUUACAUUUAUAGAGAAGUCGUGAAGAGAACAUAGAGAGUUUCUGUUUCUCCAGGUCCAGCUGUGGUUUCCCGUGAUGGUCUCCAUUUGCUGUGGAGAGGGGCAGGCACUGCUGCGCUUAUCCAAGGAAAUGCGGGCUGGGCACCUACGUGGCACUUUCGAGACAGUGUGUCAUGAUGUCGUCCGUCAAGGCUGGCCUUGAACUUGAGUCCUCAACCUCCAGCACCACUCUAGGCUCAACCAUCUUUUUUUUUCUUUUAUCUUUUAUUGUCUGAAACAAAGAAACUCUCCCCUUAUUUUAAUUUGUAGAGAUCUUUAUUGAUAACGUUAAAGCAUUUCUAUCGUCCUAGAUUUCAAGUUGCCCCACCUAAUCCCCAAGAUGAGACUCACUCGCCAAAUGUCUGACCUUACAUCCUCCCAUGCCAACCGUGGAGUCUGCAGGUGACUCCGUGCGACUCCUUAUUAUGUGGUGGCGUACUGCUCUCUGCUGCCCUCUGCUGGCUCCCUGUGUCAGUGCACAGAGGCUCUUGGAGGAGAGCCUGCAGGGUCUUCAGAAAACAGAGCUAACAGAUGCUGCUUUAGUUAAGAUGAGGAAGACAAGAGUUGAAAAAUCAGGAGCUUGGCUGUGGAUAUGACAAAGAGGAGCAGCCCAGAGCCCUCCAGGAAGAGCGCUGUGCGCCCAAGGCACGGUGGAGGAGGUCCCUCACUUGAGACGUCACCAGCUGUUAAUGGAAACUGACAGCAGCAGCAGAUUGGGCAAGAAAUGUGUCAGCCCAAGCACUGCAGGAGCCGGAGGGCUUCCCAGAGCAGGAACAGUAGGACUUUCUUUGGACCGCCAGCUCCUGAAUAAUGACACUGAGACUUCUUAUUAAGUACAAAAGCUCGGCCUUAGCUUAGACUUGUUGCCAACUAGCUCUUAAGACUGAAAUCGACCUUUAUAUGAACCUACAUUCUGCCACACGGCUAGUUACUUCUUCCCAGUACUUCAGAACCAGCUUUGGCUGAUUCCUCCCAAGUUCCUCUUUCUCUGCCUAUCCUCUCCUGCCUAGCUACUGGCUAUUAGCUCUGUAUGAAACCAAUCAGAAGGUGCCUUAGAAAGGUGAGAUAAAACAGACUUCUUCACACAGUGUGAUCAAAUAUCCCACAAUAGCUGUUCUCUGUUGAUCUGCCCCUCCCCUCCUCAAUGCUGGGGAAUGAACUCAGGACUUGAACUCAAGUUGGGCUUGCUAGGUAAACCUCUACCUCUGAGAGGAAUCCCUAGCCCCACAGCUUCCCACAGUGCUGGGAGGAGGUAGGAUUUGUCUUGCUGAGGUGACACAGCCAUUACUGUGGUCAUGGUAGCUGAACACGCUUGCCCGGGGCCUCUCCCCAGACCCUCAGGAUGGCUCCCCCAAAAUAUGCAGGCUCAGAGCUGGGGGUGUUUGGUGUUUGAAUAUUUCAGGGAUCAAUAUAAAUCUUCAUAGAAGUCCUAAUCAGAAGCUUCCUGGGUCUUCGUUAGUUUUUUUUUUUUCUUGCCUUGUCUAUUCUAGGACUUGUACUGGCUACAGGUAGUUGGGGGUUCAGCUGGGAAACAACCACAAAUAACAAGUUAGAGUAGAUUUACAUGCACAGUGGUCUUCAAACCUCUUGAAUGAGGUCCCUCAGAGCAGAGGUGACAAAGUUGGAAUUCCAUCUUGUAGGACAAGUUGUGUCCUCUGAAUAAACAUAAUGGAGGGCAUCCUGUUUCUCUGAUCGGAUGUCUGGACAAAAGCAACUAGGGAAAGAUGGGUUUAUUUGGCUCACAGAUCAAGACCCUCAUGAUGGGAAGGCAGGAACUCGAGGCAGCUGGUCACAUUGCAUCUCAGUCAAGAAACAGAAAGAGAUAAAUGCAUCUGUGUGUUUAGCCAGCGUUCUUUUCUGUGUAGUGUGGAACUGUGGUGGUUUGAAUGAUGACGGCCCCCAUAGGCUCACAUAUUUGAACGCUUGGUCUCCACUUGGUAGGAACUGUUUGGGGAAGGAUUAGGAGGUGCGGCCUUGUUGGGGAAGGCAUGUCACUGAGGGUGGACUUUGGGGUCUCCCUCUCUCCCCAUCCUCUCUCUUCCCAGUGGUUAUCAACUCAACACGUGAGUUCUCAGCUACUGCUCCAGGGUGAACCCUGCCUGCCACCAUGCUCCCUGCCGUAGUUAUAAGGGACUAUCCCACUGAAAGUGUAAGUGAGCCCCCAAAUUAAAUGCUUUCUUUUGUAA